AAAGAGUGGGUUAAUUAAUUUACAGAGAAAAUAGCUCUUGCUUAACUACUAGGAUUCUUCUUCAACUCCAUUUUCAGUCAGCCAUGGCGUAUCCAGCUCCAAUAAUUGAUGAAGCCAUCCCGGUAUUUUAGAUCAUUGUGUCUUUUUUUGUUGAUGCCUUUGUGGAAUUUGUACUUGAACUUGAUGAUUUGGUGGAAUUGAAUUUGUACUGUUUUUGGAAGACUAAUUGAGAUUGUUGCUUGAGUUUUUUGUAAUGGGUUUCAUGGUUUUGGUUAAUGAUGAUGAUGAAUUGGUUUUCUUCUUUGGUUUAAGAAUUUGAAUCUCUUCAUAAUCUUCUUUAGUGAGUUUCUUCUUUGGUUUUUGAAGCUCUUGUUGAUCAUCUUCUUUAAUGGGUUUCUUCUUUGGUUUUAGAAUUUGGGUAUCUUCAUCUUCUUUGAUGGGUUUCUUCUUCUCUGGCUUUUGUAUUUCUUCAUCCUCUGUUUCUUCAACUGAGAACAAUUUUCUUGUACCAACAAUGCUCUGUUUUCUUUGUUCACAUGGUGCAUAUAGCACUACAAAAAAGAAGGCUUCUAGGGACGGAAACAUUUAAAAAAAACGUCCCUAAAGGUUAGCUGUUGGGACACUCCGCUUUAACCGUCCCUAAAAUUGUCCAUAUUGGUCCACUAAUAGGGACGCAUUCUUUUUAACCGUCCCUAAUAGAUAGAUUUCGACGGUUCUGAUUGAAUCAUCUGUAGUUUAAUUAUUUUACGCCUGAAAACACAAGAAAACAUUUUUUUUCUUGGUUAUAUCGCCCUUCUUUCAGUUUCUCUUCACCUUCUUCCUCUUCUGCUGAAAAUUUUUCGUUAAGUUAAAACUCUUCCGUUCGUGAUUUUCCCUGUGAGAUCUCAAAUUCGUUCCCAGUGAAGAGACACUUGAUUCUCAAGGUUUGCAAAUUACAAGAGCACACUUUCCGCAUCUCCAUCGAUUUUGGCUUUGAAUUCAGGUGCAUAUUGCUGAUGUUGGCGAUUAGGUCUCUCAGGUAAGAAUUGUUACUUCUGAAAUUAGAGAUAAAACUGAUUAUGUUAAGGUUCCAAAAUUUGCAUUUGGUGACUUAUUAUUGUCUGGAAGAAAGGUGAAAAAGAUUAUGUUAAGGUUCCAAAACCAUUGCUGAAGUUAAAAUUUAAGAAUCCUUAUCCGCAAAGCCUCGAGGAGACUUCUAUCAGAGGUCAAAGAUUGAAGAGAAAGAGACCUUCACCUACUGUGGAGAAGCCCAAAGCCACCAUGCUCAAGUCCCAAUAAACUACUCGAGGUAUCAUGCAUUAUUCACUUUUUUUUGGCAGUAUUUCAUAUAGAUCCAGAGGUGUUUUACAUAGAGUCAGUUGUGGAAAUAUCUUUUUUAACAGGCACUCUUAGGUAGUGGUAGUAAAUAUGACCAUAUAUACUAUGUUUUUUUGUCUUUGAAUUUGAUUAAUUUUGCAAGAGUAUGAGGAUGAAAAGUUCAAUGUCAAUUGGAAAAGGGCAGCUAUCACAAGUGGGUUUGGUUUUGGAUUUGUUGGUCCAACUGGCCAUUACUGGAAAACAUGUUAGUCGCUUGGGAGUUGUUCCAUAACCAGGAUUGAGUUUGUCAAUCUCAUAUUGACCAAUUGUCUGGCAUGCACCAAAAGUUGUGCGAGGAAAUGCUGCGAAAUCAUCUAUGUCGCCUGGGAGUUGUUCUAAGAAAUCACCUAACAACAACUGAGAAUGUGCUAUAUAUAAAAUUCUUGGAUUCGUUGAUGACCCGCUUAUGCGAAAAUCAUGAUAACUUCUGGGAGAUGGGGAAUACUGGUCACUUCACUUGGAAUUUCAAGUGAUAACAAUGAUGAACCAACAUCCAUUGAGAUAUGGAAUCUUGUUAUUCAGAGUGUAAAGUAUUUUCGGUGGUUAUUGGUGGCGCAAAUAUGGGAAAUAAGUGCUAAAGUUUGCAGGACUCGAGGUAUCCUACCAAACCUAUAUCCAACUCGCUUGAUCAUGAUUACGCGGUUACGUGAUAAGAAAUGCGGCAGCAACUGGGAGCUCGAUGGAAAUUUUGGUGUCAUGUGCCAACGAUGUGAGCCUUAUCCCAAUGUUCUAAUUGAGAAUUUCGAUGAUGGUAGAUGGUAGGAAUUAAAUGCUGUGGAGCAAUAAAGGUCGUUCUGGAGCAGAAGCAAUCAAAUACAUUUCCAGUGUAGAUGGUGCGGUUUACGUCCAAGUUGUAUAAACUAUGGUAGUCCGAAAACAUCACCUUUUGAUUGUUUUUACGGAGUUUUUUUUUUGUUGUAUGAGACUUGUUAUUCUAAAUGUUUGAAUCAUUUUUGUGAACAACUUGAUUUCAUGAAUGAGAAUGUAUUUUGGG